rnacentral:rRNA from 1 species
CAGGGGGGGCAAGCGUUGUUCGGAAUUACUGGGCGUAAAGGGCUCGUAGGUGGCCAACUAAGUCGGACGUGAAAUCCCUCAGCUUAACUGGGGAACUGCGUCCGAUACUGGAUGGCUUGAGUUUGGGAGAGGGAUGCGGAAUUCCAGGUGUAGCGGUGAAAUGCGUAGAUAUCUGGAGGAACACCGGUGGCGAAGGCGGCAUCCUGGACCAACACUGACACUGAGGAGCGAAAGCCAGGGGAGCAAACGGGAUUAGAUACCCCGGUAGUCCUGGCCCUAAACGAUGAAUGCUUGGUGUGGCGGGUAUCGAUCCCUGCCGUGCCGAAGCUAACGCAUUAAGCAUUCCGCCUGGGGAGUACGGUCGCAAGGCUG